rnacentral:rRNA from 1 species
GACGGAGGGUGCAAGCGUUGUUCGGAAUUACUGGGCGUAAAGGGCGCGUAGGCGGUCUGUUAAGUCCGGUGUGAAAGCCCCCGGCUCAACUGGGGAGGGUCAUUCGAUACUGAUCAACUUGAAGGCAGGAGAGAGAAGUGGAAUUCCCGGUGUAGUGGUGAAAUGCGUAGAUAUCGGGAGGAACACCAGUGGCGAAGGCGGGUUGCUGGGCCGAUACUGACGCUGAGGAGCGAAAGCCAGGGGAGCGAACGGG